rnacentral:tRNA from 2 species
GCUGCCUGACUCAGCCCGUACGCCAGGGCGCUCGCGUACUCGUAAUGCGUAGGUCUCGGGUUCGAAUCCCGAAGGCGGCUCCA